CUGGGCUAGACAACAGUGGACCGUCCCAGAAAUAGGAUUUUCCCUUCGGGGACUGCCGGUUCAGGUGCUGCAUGGCUGUCGUCAGCUCGCGCCGUGAGGUGUUGGGUUAAGUCCCGCAACGAGCGCAACCCUCGUCCUUAGUUGCCACCAUUCAGUUGGGCACUCUAGGGAGACUGCCGGCGUUAAGCCGGAGGAAGGUGGGGACGACGUCAAGUCAUCAUGGCCCUUAUGUCCAGGGCCACACACGUGCUACAAUGGACGGUACAAAGGGUCGCAAACCCGUGAGGGGGAGCCAAUCCCAAAAAGCCGUUCUCAGUUCGGAUUGGAGUCUGCAACUCGACUCCAUGAAGUUGGAAUCGCUAGUAAUCGCGGAUCAGCACGCCGCGGUGAAUACGUUCCC
rnacentral:rRNA from 1 species